GAUGAACGCUGGCGGCGUGCUUAACACAUGCAAGUCGAACGGGGAUUAUUUCAUUGAAGCUUCGGCAGAUUUGGCUUAAUCCUAGUGGCGGACGGGUGAGUAACGCGUGGGUAACCUGCCUUGUACAGGGGGAUAACAGUCAGAAAUGACUGCUAAUACCGCAUAAGCGCACAGGACCGCAUGGUCCGGUGUGAAAAACUCCGGUGGUAUAAGAUGGACCCGCGUUGGAUUAGCUUGUUGGCAGGGUAACGGCCUACCAAGGCGACGAUCCAUAGCCGGCCUGAGAGGGUGAACGGCCACAUUGGGACUGAGACACGGCCCAGACUCCUACGGGAGGCAGCAGUGGGGAAUAUUGCACAAUGGGGGAAACCCUGAUGCAGCGACGCCGCGUGAAGGAAGAAGUAUCUCGGUAUGUAAACUU
rnacentral:rRNA from 1 species